CAUUCUUUAUUAGUAGUAACAUAUAUAACUGAAUCUAAAUUUGAAUAACAGAUAUCUCUCACUUGAAUUUGUUUUUCAGCUUGUAAAGAGACAUAGUUUUCAGUAUUGAACUCAACUUGAGCUAGGUGCCACAAAUGAGCCUCUUUUUCUGCUAGACAUAACACAUAUAACUGAUCUUUCUCGACAUUUUCAAAUAUGUUUUCAUUACUUGCUUUCCAAAUAUACCAAAUUAUCCAUGGAUAUGCGAAUGAAUCAAAUUCUAAAGGGAUUCUUGAGAAUAAGUGAUCCAAAUUUGCAUAAAUAGAAUACGUGGGAAAAAUCCCUGGGACCAUAGGGAUCUUUGGUUAAGCUAGCAAUGGUUGUUUGGUAUGUAAUGUUUCAUAGUUUUUCUUUAUUUGUUGAAGAAAAACAAAAUCCUUUAUUUUAUUAUUUUGAAUGUGUGCAACUAAUCUUCUAUCUCAUAUUUUGAUCAAAUUCUAAUAAACAAUUAGAAUUGUUUUAAACUCUUUUAGGACAUAUAAAUCCCAAAAAGUUUUCUUUUUUCGGUAAAGGAAGGCGACAUUGUCCCCUACUAUUUAUUCGAACAAAAUAAAACAAAAACUAAUUUCAAAAACUACGUGAAAACAGAGUUCCACUUGUGUCCUUUAAUAUCACCGAGCUAACACUCUCUAGACAACGAUCAAAAGAAUGAGGGUCUACUGCCAACGAAAAAGCAUAGUUUGCUAACUCAUCUGCAAGACGAUUAACUUUCCUAUACAUAUGAGUAACUCGGACUAUCCAAUCCUUUAUGAUAAAUCUUAAGAAAUUGAUUAUAUAAAAAAAACAUAUAAACUAAGGUUGCUGAAUUGUUUUAACCUCUUUUAAUUAAUUAUUGAACUGUCGAUUUGACCUCCUAAACACCCUAUCUACAGCUCUCUUUUUUUGUUAAGAAGAAAGGUAUAAAAGAAUAUAUUCUAAAAGUUCAUGUAACGAUAAUAUAUAAAGGGUUCUGGAGUUUGGUGUGAUUACCAAAGGAAAUAUAUAUAUAUAUAUA
rnacentral:sRNA from 1 species